rnacentral:rRNA from 1 species
UUGGAGGGCAAGUCUGGUGCCAGCAGCCGCGGUAAUUCCAGCUCCAAUAGCGUAUAUUAAAGUUGUUGCAGUUAAAAAGCUUGUAGUUGAAUUUCGGGAUCAAUAUGCCGGUCAUGCCUUGGUAUGCACCGGUAUCUUUGAUUUCUCCCUUCUGACGAACUUUGAUGUCAUUAAUUUGGUGUCAUAGGGAAUCAGGACUGUUACUUUGAAAAAAUUAGAGUGUUUAAAGCAAGCUCACGCUUGAAUACAUUAGCAUGGAAUAAUGAAAUAGGACGUUUGAUUCUAUUUUGUUGGUUUCUAGGAUCGACGUAAUGAUUAAUAGGGAUAGUUGGGGGCAUUAGUAUUCAAUUGUCAGAGGUGAAAUUCUUGGAUUUAUUGAAGACUAACUACUGCGAAAGCAUUUGCCAAGGAUGUUUUCAUUAAUCAAGAACGAAAGUUAGGGGAUCGAAGACGAUCAGAUACCGUCGUAGUCUUAACCAUAAACUAUGCCGACUAGGGAUCGGAUGAUGUUAAUUUUUUAAUGACUCAUUCGGCGCCUUACGGGAAACCAAAGUGUUUGGGUUC